rnacentral:rRNA from 1 species
AACGAACGCUGGCGGCAUGCCUAACACAUGCAAGUCGAACGACACCUCCGGGUCUAGUCGCGCACGGGUGCGUAACGCGGGGGAACCUGCCUUUAGGUGCGGCAUAACUCAGAGGAAUUUGCGCUAAUACCGGAUGAUGUCUUCGGACCAAAGAUUUAUCGCGUUUGGAUGGGCCCGCGUUGGAUUAGCUAGUUGGCGGGGUAAAGGCCUACCAAGGGGAGGUUCCAUAGCUGGUCAGAGAGGCUGAUCAGCGACACUGGGGCUGAGACACGGCCCGGACUCCUACGGGAGGCAGCAGUGGCGAAUCUUGGACAAUGGGCGGAAGCAUGAUCCAGCAAUGCUGGGUGAGUGAUGAAGGCCUUAGGGUUGUCAAGCUCUUUUACCCGAGAUGGUAAUGACGGUACCGGGAGAAUAAGCUCCGGCUAACUCCGUG